rnacentral:tRNA from 1 species
GCCUUCGUGGUGUAGCUGGUCAGCACGCUCGACGCGUAACCGAGAGUUCUGUGGUUCGAUUCCCGGCGAAGGCG